ACGAACGCUGGCGGCGUGCUUAACACCUGCAAGUCGAACGGUGAAGCGCCUUCCUUUUUGGUGGGUGUGGAUGAGUGGCGAACGGGUGAGUAACACGUGAGUAACCUGCCCCCUUCUUCUGGAUAACCGCAUGAAAGUGUGGCUAAUACGGGAUAUUCUGGGUCUGUCGCAUGAUGGGUCUGGGAAAGAUAUUGUUUCGGUGGGGGAUGGGCUCGCGGCCUAUCAGCUUGUUGGUGGGGUGAUGGCCUACCAAGGCGGUGACGGGUAGCCGGCCUGAGAGGGUGGGCGGUCACACUGGGACGGAGACACGGACCAGACUACUACGGGAGGCAGCAGUGGGGAAUAGUGCACAAUGGGCGCAAGCCUGAUGCAGCGACGCCGCGUGAGGGAUGGAGGCCUUCGGGUUGUGAACCUCUUUCGCCAGUGAAGCAGGCCUGCCUCGUUUGUGGGUGGGUUGACGGUAGCUGGAUAAGAAGCGCCGGCUAACUACGUG
rnacentral:rRNA from 1 species